AGAGUGGGGGUUUGAGUCGAGAAUGACUUGCCGGAUUUACGUCAACGUAAUAGGUGAUUAGCCGGCUUUCAUUUAAUCUUUCGGCAAGUUAUUCUUGAUUCACCUUUGCUCUCU
rfam:Gossypium hirsutum cultivar TM-1 chromosome 19, whole genome shotgun sequence